CCGGGUCCCGAACGGAGAAAAAGAGCGCGGGCCGCGGGGCGGAGCCUUUGUAGAGGUUAUCGCGGGAACAGCGACCCCUUCAGGAUCGCCGCGGGGCGCGCCGGGAGCUUGGCCAGUUCCGCCUCGGGGAGGGUCGUGUUCGUUGUCAGGUGCGCGCCGCUGGGCGGCUGAGGCGCUGCGGUUUGCAAUUAAGCCCCUGAGAACCAAGAGCAGAGGCAACCCAAAUCCCCUCUUUUUGUUUUAAGUGAAAAUGUGGAAGUUGUAGCAUAAAAUUACAGUAUCUGUGAAAUUAGAACCAGCAGCUCCCUGUCAUCUUGUAGCACCCGCGCCCCGCUGGUCCCUGACGCCUGGAUGGCACUUGGCGAACGUUUGCAGUAUAGGGUCGAAUUUAAUGUCCCCACCGAGCCUGUUGUUCAUUCAUUCAGCAUUAUUGAGUAUCUGCCGUGUACCAGGAUUGAAUCAUGUGCUGGAGAUACCACGCUGAACAAGACUGUCCCUGCCCUCAGGAAGCUCUCAGUUCGGUUACUUGACAACCUUCAGAGACACCCUCUUCCCCCUGCUCCAGUUUUGUUUCUAUUUGCUGCCACAAGGAUUUUGUGACUGCCUAACGUGCUGGAUUACAAGAUCAACACUAGGUGCAUACUUGGUGCGAAAUACGGUGCCCAGGACACCAAGUGCCGGGUGGAGAACGUAUAAGAUGUUUCCUUUACACAAGUUGGAAAGAUGGAUACUCCCCAAAUUACAGCUCAAACCAUGUGACAGCUUGCUCAAGCAUCUUCAGCCUCCAUUGCCUACCAAUGGCCUCCAGUAUAAUACUGACUAGGAGCAAUGCUAGCAGAGAUGGGCACCUAAAGUAACUUUCAACUUUCUGCAACUAUAAAAUAACACUGUGAUAAAUAUCUUCAUGUAAGUUGCUUUUUGAUUUGUGCCCUGGUUUCUUUGAUGCUUAUACCCAGGUAUGUGAUUGUUGGAACAUGAGAUAAUUUGUACAUUGAUUUUAUUAAAUUCCACCAGAUUAUUUUCCAUAAUACUGCCUCAGUUACACUCCUGCCAGUAGAGUAGGAGAAAUCUUAUUUCUCUACUUUCUUACCUACAAUUGCUGUUAUCUGAUUUUUUUUUUUUUUUGGGUCUGCGUUGGGUCUUCGUUGCUGUGCUCAGGCUUUCUCUAGUUGCAGUGAGCGGGGUCUACUCUUCGUUGUAGUGUGCGUGCUUCUCAUUGUGGUAGCUUCUCUUGUUGCAGAGCACAGGUUCUAGGCGCACGGGCUUCAGUAGUUGUGGCACGUGGGCUCAGUAGUUGUGGCUUGCAGGCUCUAGAGCGUAGGCUCAGUAGUUGUGGCGCACGGGCUUAGUUGCUCCGCGGCAUGUGGUAUCUUCCCAGACCAGGGAUCAAACACAUGUCCCCUGCAUUGGCAGGUGGGUUCUUAACCACUGCACCACCAGGAAGUCCCUGAUUUUUAAUUUUUAUUAAUUUGAUUAAUGUUAAAGUAUAUAUCAAUGUUGAAAUUGGCAUUUCUCUGAUUCUAGUGUGUUUCUCUGAUUUCUAUACUUACUUGCCACUGAGCUUCCUUUUAUUUUUAUUUUUUUUAAGUUUUAUUUAUUUAUUUUUGAUGUAGACCAUUUUUUAAAGUCUUUAUUGAAUUUGUUACUAUAUUGCUUCUAUUUUAUGUUUUGGUUUUUUGGCCAUGAGGCAUGUGGGAUCUUAGCUCCCCAACCAGAGGUUGAACCUGCACUCCCUGCUUUGGAAAGCGAAGUCUUAACCACUGGAUUGCCAUGGAAGUCCCUGGGCUUCCUUUUAAAUGAUUCACCUACUUACGUCCUUUGCCUGUUUUUCUGUUGAGGUUUCCUGUCUUUUUCUUAUUCGUUUGCAACUGUUUCUUAUACAUGCCGUAUAUUAAUUCCUUAGCAGGUUUUAAACACUAAAAAUAUUUUCUUUGGUCUGUCAACUGUCAGUUUUGCCUAUGACGUCCUUGUGAGCAGAAGUUCUCAAUUUUGAUGUAUAUAAAUCCAUUUUUUAAAAAUGUUUUGUGUUUUUAGGUCUUGCUUGAGAAGUCCUUUCAACCCUAAAAUCACUCAGAUAUUUCCUUUUAUUUUCUUCUGUUAGCUUUUAAAAUUUGCCUUUUACACUUGAGACUUUAUUCCAGAUGGCAUUCCCCUGUG